CAGCCAAAUUUUGGUCCCGGAAG
rnacentral:rRNA from 1 species